rnacentral:rRNA from 1 species
CCGGUGGCGACCGGCGCACGGGUGCGUAACGCGUAUGCAACCUACCCAUAACAGGGGGAUAACACUGAGAAAUUGGUACUAAUACCCCAUAACAUCAGGACCGGCAUCGGUUCUGGUUGAAAACUCCGGUGGUUAUGGAUGGGCAUGCGUUGUAUUAGCUGGUUGGUGAGGUAACGGCUCACCAAGGCAACGAUACAUAGGGGGACUGAGAGGUUAACCCCCCACAUUGGUACUGAGACACGGACCAA